rnacentral:rRNA from 1 species
GAUGAACGCUAGCUACAGGCUUAACACAUGCAAGUCGAGGGGUAACGAGAGGAAAGCUUGCUUUCCUUGUCGACGACCGGCGCACGGGUGAGUAACGCGUAUCCAACCUGCCCCCAACUAAGGAAUAACCUUGCGAAAGUAAGACUAAUACCUUAUAAUUUCCUCAGAUGUCAUCUGACGAGGAAUAAAGAUUUAUCGGUUGUGGAUGGGGAUGCGUCUGAUUAGCUUGUUGGCGGGGUAACGGCCCACCAAGGCAACGAUCAGUAGGGGUUCUGAGAGGAAGGUCCCCCACAUUGGAACUGGGACACGGUCCAAACUCCUACGGGAGGCAGCAGUGAGGAAUAUUGGUCAAUGGGCGGAAGCAUGAACCAGCCAAGUAGCGCGCAGGAUGACGGCCCUAUGGGUUGUAAACUGCUUUUAUACAGGAAUAAAGUUAGCCACGUGUGGUUAUUUGUAGGUACUGUAUGAAUAGGGACCGGCUAAUUCCGUGCCAGCCGCCGCCGUAA